rnacentral:rRNA from 1 species
CAGUUCGGAUUGUAGUCUGCAACCCGACUACAUGAAGCUGGAAUCGCUAGUAAUCGCGAAUCAGAAUGUCGCGGUGAAUACGUUCCCGGGUCUUGUACACACCGCCCGUCACACCAUGGGAGUCGGAAAUGCCCGAAGUCAGUGACCCAACCGUAAGGAGGGAGCUGCCGAAGGUGGAGCCGGUAACUGGGGUGAAGUCGUAACAAGGUAUC